CAGGUGGGCGUGUCCGGUUGUGGGGAAGUUGCUAGCAGCUGCAAGCAAUCCACUCAUCACCUGCCAGGGGAUAUUUAAGCACCUGAGAGGCGGCUUCACUUUGCUGGAUGAUUAACUCUACUUGGACAUCCUGUUACAAUAACUACCUGGUCAACCUGCCAUUCGCCUCUCAGCGUCCUCCCAUGGUCUCCCCCACGCCGGCUCCCCACCUUCCUCCUGGAUCUCCUGCUCAGUAAUUGCUCAGCUCCCUCCUCGCCUGGACUCUCAGCUUCCUCUAACUCAGUAAGCCAUCUGCUUCACCCCCAGACCAGACAACCAACCUCUCCCGAACAUUCUAACUGAACCUUCAGACCACUCCCCCCACCGGAUCCCAGCAGUCCAGCCUGACAUUUUGUUCCUGCCAUUUCUCCUUUAUAAUAAAUCAUUAUUUAACUCUAAUUCUGACUUGUGGAUUGAUUCUGUAU